GGGUGGUCAGGCACUGGAAUGGGCUGUCCAGAGAGGUGGUGGAGUCGCCGAGCCUCAUGGUGUUCAAAGAGCGUUUGGAUGUUGUGUUGAGGGACAUGGUUUAGCGAGAACCAUUGGUGACGGGGAAUGGUUGGACUGGAUGAUCCUGUGUGUCUUUUCCAACCUUAGCGAUUCUAUGAUUCCGUGAUCUUUGGGGUCCUUUUCAACGCAGGGCAUUCCAUGAUUCUGGGAUGAUUCCAUGAAAUACAGCCAUCGUAUGCACCCAGGGCCACGGGGUCUUGGGAGAGUUCCUGCGGCGUCUGAAGGCACGGACUCAGGUGUGAAUGAUCCAAAUUGUUUAUUGUAGGUUCAAAUAUCCCCAAGUUCUCUCUUUCCCACUUUCCCACCCCC
ensembl:lncRNA